UACAGAGGUCUCAAGCGUUGUUCGGAUUCAUUGGGCGUAAAGGGUGCGUAGGUGGCGCUGUAAGUCGGGUGUGAAAUCUCGGAGCUUAACUCCGAAAUUGCAUUCGAUACUGCCGUGCUUGAGGACUGGAGAGGAGACUGGAAUUCAUGGUGUAGCAGUGAAAUGCGUAGAGAUCAUGAGGAAGACCAGUGGCGAAGGCGGGUCUCUGGACAGUUCCUGACACUGAGGCACGAAGGCCAGGGGAGCAAACGGG
rnacentral:rRNA from 1 species